GACAGAUUUAAAAGAACCUUAGGACAGAGGGCAGGACACCAUUGCAGAUGUAUAUGCCAAGACUCUCAGUGGUUUGUGCAAUUUUCCCUGCUAGAAGAACAUCUCGAACUCUACUGGAAAUGUUACAUUUGCUUUGUCAGUCGAAGAAAGAGCUUCACUUUGCAAGUUUGUAUCCAAUGUUUAAAUGCUGGUUUCAGGAAGAAGCAGCCCGGUGACAGUCUGAGAGUCUGGCCACUGGCCACAAGUUGUCCAUGGAAAGCAGCUGGCCCUGGGGAGAGGUUUCAUCUUGCCCUGAGCCUCACCCUCAGCUGGGCAGCUGGCGCAGAACAGGUGUUUCCCAUGACAUACCUGUCGGACUCAAGUUCGAACCCAGGGUUGUAACUCUCCCCUGUGAGGGCAGCACUCAGGAGGCUGAGAAGGGAGAAAGCUGUGCGUCUGAAUCCAGUCAAGUCCUCCCUAAAUGGCAUUAUUGUGAUUCACUCAUCUACUACACACUUUCUUCUGUUGAUCUUUUAAAACUCUUGUCUGUUUAUAAUUUGCUUAUAAUCA